rnacentral:rRNA from 1 species
AUACGUAGGUGACAAGCGUUAUCCGGAUUUACUGGGCGUAAAGGGCGUGUAGGCGGUCUUGCAAGUCAGAAGUGAAAUUCCUGAGCUCAACUCGGGCGCUGCUUCUGACACUGCAGGACUUGAGUGCUGGAGGGGAUAGCGGAAUUCCUAGUGGAGCGGUAAAAUGCGCAGAUAUUAGGAGGAACACCGGUGGCGAAGGCGGCUAUCUGGACAGUAACUGACGCUGAGGCGCGAAAGCACGGGGAGCAAACAGGAUUAGAUACCCUGGUAGUCCGUGCCGUAAACGAUGAAUACUAGGUGUAGGGGGUAUCGACUCCCUCUGUGCCGCAGUUAACACAUUAAGUAUUCCACCUGGGGAGUACGGCCGCAAGGUUGAAACUCAAAGGAAUUGACGGGG